rnacentral:rRNA from 1 species
GAUUGCAGGCUGCAACUCGCCUGCAUGAAGUCGGAAUUGCUAGUAAUCGCGGAUCAGCAUGCCGCGGUGAAUACGUUCCCGGGCCUUGUACACACCGCCCGUCACACCAUGGGAGGUCGGUAACCACCCGAAGCCGAUAGUCUUAACGAAAGAGGACGUCGUCGAAGGUGGGAUUGAUGACUGGGGUGAAGUCGUAACAAGGUAAC